AACGAACGCUGGCGGCAGGCUUAACACAUGCAAGUCGAGCGCCCCGCAAGGGGAGCGGCAGACGGGUGAGUACCGCGUGGGAACGUACCUUUUGGUUCGGAACAACUCCGGGAAACUGGAGCUAAUACCGGAUAAGCCCUAACGGGGAAGAUUUAUCGCCGAAAGAUCGGCCCGCGUCUGAUUAGCUAGUUGGUGAGGUAACGGCUCACCAAGGCGACGAUCAGUAGCUGGUCUGAGAGGAUGAUCAGCCACACUGGGACUGAGACACGGCCCAGACUCCUACGGGAGGCAGCAGUGGGGAAUAUUGGACAAUGGGCGCAAGCCUGAUCCAGCCAUGCCGCGUGAGUGAUGAAGGCCUUAGGGUUGUAAAGCUCUUUUGUCCGGGAAGAUAAUGACUGUACCGGAAGAAUAAGCCCCGGCUAACUUCGUG
rnacentral:rRNA from 1 species